AUUUGCUGACGAGUCUCAAGUGGGACGAAACGUGCGUCCUGGAU
rnacentral:hammerhead_ribozyme from 1 species